AUGGAUCCGCGCUGCAUUAGCUAGUUGGUAAGGUAACGGCUUACCAAGGCAACGAUGCAUAGCCGACCUGAGAGGGUGAUCGGCCACACUGGAACUGAGACACGGUCCAGACUCCUACGGGAGGCAGCAGUAGGGAAUCUUCCGCAAUGGGCGAAAGCCUGACGGAGCAACGCCGCGUGAGUGAUGAAGGUCUUCGGAUCGUAAAACUCUGUUAUUAGGGAAGAACAUAUGUGUAAGUAACUGUGCACAUCUUGACGGUACCUAAUCAGAAAGCCACGGCUAACUACGUGCCAGCAGCCGCGGUAAUACGUAGGUGGCAAGCGUUAUCCGGAAUUAUUGGGCGUAAAGCGCGCGUAGGCGGUUUUUUAAGUCUGAUGUGAAAGCCCACGGCUCAACCGUGGAGGGUCAUUGGAAACUGGAAAACUUGAGUGCAGAAGAGGAAAGUGGAAUUCCAUGUGUAGCGGUGAAAUGCGCAGAGAUAUGGAGGAACACCAGUGGCGAAGGCGACUUUCUGGUCUGUAACUGACGCUGAUGUGCGAAAGCGUGGGGAUCAAACAGGAUUAGAUACCCUGGUAGUCCACGCCGUAAACGAUGAGUGCUAAGUGUUAGGGGGUUUCCGCCCCUUAGUGCUGCAGCUAACGCAUUAAGCACUCCGCCUGGGGAGUACGACCGCAAGGUUGAAACUCAAAGGAAUUGACGGGGACCCGCACAAGCGGUGGAGCAUGUGGUUUAAUUCGAAGCAACGCGAAGAACCUUACCAAAUCUUGACAUCCUUUGACAACUCUAGAGAUAGAGCUUUCCCCUUCGGGGGACAAAGUGACAGGUGGUGCAUGGUUGUCGUCAGCUCGUGUCGUGAGAUGUUGGGUUAAGUCCCGCAACGAGCGCAACCCUUAAGCUUAGUUGCCAUCAUUAAGUUGGGCACUCUAAGUUGACUGCCGGUGACAAACCGGAGGAAGGUGGGGAUGACGUCAAAUCAUCAUGCCCCUUAUGAUUUGGGCUACACACGUGCUACAAUGGACAAUACAAAGGGCAGCGAAACCGCGAGGUCAAGCAAAUCCCAUAAAGUUGUUCUCAGUUCGGAUUGUAGUCUGCAACUCGACUACAUGAAGCUGGAAUCGCUAGUAAUCGUAGAUCAGCAUGCUACGGUGAAUACGUUCCCGGGUCUUGUACACACCGCCCGUCACACCACGAGAGUUUGUAACACCCGAAGCCGGUGGAGUAACCUUUUAGGAGCUAGCCGUCGAAGGUGGGACAAAUGAUUGGGGUGAAGUCGUAACAAGGUAGCCGUAUCGGAAGGUGCGGCUGGAUCACCUCCUUU
rnacentral:rRNA from 1 species